GCGCCCGUAGCUCAGCAUGGAUAGAGCGCCGGACUUCGAAUCCGUAGGCCGCAGGUUCGAGUCCUGCCGGGCGCG
rfam:Spirochaetes bacterium RBG_16_67_19 RBG_16_scaffold_11445, whole genome shotgun sequence.